rnacentral:rRNA from 1 species
UACGAAGGGGGCUAGCGUUGCUCGGAAUCACUGGGCGUAAAGCGCACGUAGGCGGAUUGUUAAGUCAGGGGUGAAAUCCUGGAGCUCAACUCCAGAACUGCCUUUGAUACUGAAGAUCUUGAGUUCGGGAGAGGUGAGUGGAACUGCGAGUGUAGAGGUGAAAUUCGUAGAUAUUCGCAAGAACACCAGUGGCGAAGGCGGCUCACUGGCCCGAUACUGACGCUGAGGCACGAAAGCGUGGGG